UACGAAAGGUCCAAGCGUUACUCGGAAUCACUGGGCGUAAAGCGCGCGUAGGCGGUCUCGUAUGUCGAUUGUGAAAGCCCCGGGCUCAACCUGGGAACUGCAGUCGAAACUGCGAGACUUGAAUGUUGGAGAGGUUGGGGGAAUACCUAGUGGAGAAGUGAAAUUCGUAGAGAUUAGGUGGAACACCAGAGGCGAAGGCGCCUGACUGGCCAAACAUUGACGCUAAGGCGCGAAAGCGUGGGUAGCAAACAGG
rnacentral:rRNA from 1 species